UCCCCAAUGUCCCCAAUGUCCCCAAUGCCAGCAGUGCCAGAUGGGGUUGUGGUGUCCCCAAUGUCCCCAAUGUCCCCAAUGCCAGCAGUGCCAGAUGGGGUUGCGGUGUCCCCAAUGUCCCCAAUGUCCCCAAUGCCAGCAGUGCCAGAUGGGGUCGUGGUGUCACCAAUGUCCCCAAUGUCCCCAAUGCCAGCAGUCCCAUAUGGGGUUGUGGUGUCCCCAAUGUCCCCAAUGCCAGCAGUGCCAUAUGUGAGCCCCGGUGUCACCAAUGCCACGUGUGCCCCAUGGUGUCCUUGGGGUCACCAAAAGGAGUCCCCAAAAGUGGGUGGGGGGUCCUCAACUGGGGAUGGAGGAGGGGUCCCCACACGUAAUUGGGAGUCCGGGGGUCCCCAAAUGGGGGUGGGGGUCCCCAAGAAGAGUGGUUCUGGGGGUCCCUCAAUGAAUUCAGGGGGCCCAAAUUGGGGCUGGGGGUCCCCAAAUGGGGGUGGGGGUCUCCAAAUGGCAUCAGGGAUCCACCAGAAAGUGGGUGGGGGUCCCCCAAAUGGGGGUGGGGGUCUCCAAAUGGCAUCAGGGAUCCCCCCAGAAAGUGGGUGGGGGUCCCCAAAUGGGGGUGGGGGUCCCCAAGAAGAGUGGUUCUGGGGGUCCCUCAAUGAACUCAGGGGGCCCAAAUUGGGGCUGGGGGUCCCCAAAUAGGGGUGGGGGUCCUCAAAUGGUGAUGGAGGAGGGGUCCCCAAACGUAAGUGUGGGUCUGGGGGUCCCUCAAUGAAUUCAGGGGGCCCAAAUUGGGGCUGGGGGUCCCCAAAUGGGGGUGGGGGUCUCCAAAUGGCAUCAGGGAUCCACCAGAAAGUGGGUGGGGGUCCCCCAAAUGGGGGUGGGGGUCCCCAAGAAGAGUGGUUCUGGGGGUCCCUCAAUGACCUCAGGGGGCCCAAAUUGGGGCUGGGGGUCCCAAAUGGGGGUGGGGGUCCCCAAGAAGAGUGGUUCUGGGGGUCCCUCAGUGAAUUCAGGGGGCCCAAAUUGGGGCUGGGGACCCCCAAAUAGGGCUGAGGGACCCCAAAAGGAGCGGGUGUGGGGGCGCCCCAAUGCAUCCCAUGGAGCCUCGGAUGGGAACCCUCCCCCCCCCCCAAAUUGCACCCAGG
ensembl:lncRNA